GACACGAACGGGAGACGGAUCGUUGAAUUCAAAUGUUUUCAUGAGUGGACGUGAUAAAUUACAUGAAUCACUGACUGUGAUUCUGAACCAGGAGCCGGAGAAACGACACAUCAACCAAACAGAGAUUAGAAGGUUAAAUCUCAACUUUGUAAAGAUACUGUCACCAAAAAGAACUUGUGAUGACCUGCAGGAGAACGUACCUCUUCUGCUUGCAUCAUCUUGAAGACCUCCCCGAACUCUGAGUUCUCUCCGGUUCCGAUGACGAUGCCCUGAGGAACGCCACGCAGACACAUCACACCAUGUAGACGCACAGCAACAAAGAGUCUGAUGGAAGAUGACUGAACUCUUUGGCCACGCUACCUGGAUUUACAAACUGAAAAUAUAAAAAGAGAAACAUGAGUGAUUUAAUAAUAAUCGCGC